UGGGGAAUAUUGGACAAUGGGCGCAAGCCUGAUCCAGCCAUGCCGCGUGAGUGAUGAAGGCCCUAGGGUUGUAAAGCUCUUUCACCGGUGAAGAUAAUGACGGUAACCGGAGAAGAAGCCCCGGCUAACUCCGUGCCAGCAGCCGCGGUAAUACGAAGGGGGCUAGCGUUGUUCGGAUUUACUGGGCGUAAAGCGCACGUAGGCGGACUUUUAAGUCAGGGGUGAAAUCCCGGGGCUCAACCCCGGAACUGCCUUUGAUACUGGAAGUCUUGAGUAUGGUAGAGGUGAGUGGAAUUCCGAGUGUAGAGGUGAAAUUCGUAGAUAUUCGGAGGAACACCAGUGGCGAAGGCGGCUCACUGGACCAUUACUGACGCUGAGGUGCGAAAGCGUGGGGAGCAAACAGG
rnacentral:rRNA from 1 species